rnacentral:rRNA from 1 species
UGAAGUUAAAGGCUGUGGNUCAACCAUAGUUCGCUUUGGAAACUGUCAAACUUGAGUGCAGAAGGGGAGAGUGGAAUUCCAUGUGUAGCGGUGAAAUGCGUAGAUAUAUGGAGGAACACCGGUGGCGAAAGCGGCUCUCUGGUCUGUAACUGACGCUGAGGCUCGAAAGCGUGGGGAGCGAACAGGAUUAGAUACCCUGGUAGUCCACGCCGUAAACGAUGAGUGCUAGGUGUUGGAUCCUUUCCGGGAUUCAGUGCCGCAGCUAACGCAUUAAGCACUCCGCCUGGGGAGUACGACCGCAAGGUUGAAACUCAAAGGAAUUGACGGGGGCCCGCACAAGCGGUGGAGCAUGUGGUUUAAUUCGAAGCAACGCGAAGAACCUUACCAGGUCUUGACAUCCCGAUGCUAUUUCUAGAGAUAGGAAGUUACUUCGGUACAUCGGUGACAGGUGGUGCAUGGUUGUCGUCAGCUCGUGUCGUGAGAUGUUGGGUUAAGUCCCGCAACGAGUGCAACCCCUAUUGUUAGUUGCCAUCAUUCAGUUGGGCACUCUAGCAAGACUGCCGGUAAUAAACCGGAGGAAGGUGGGGAUGACGUCAAAUCAUCAUGCCCCUUAUGACCUGGGCUACACAC